rnacentral:snRNA from 1 species
GUGCUCGCGUGGAAAACACAUAUACUAAAAUUGGAAUGAUGUAGAGAUUAGCAUGGCCCUGCACAAGGAUGACACACAAAUUCAUAGAGCAUUCCAUUUUUUU